ACGCUGGCGGCAUGCCUUACACAUGCAAGUCGAACGGUAACAGGUCUUCGGAUGCUGACGAGUGGCGAACGGGUGAGUAAUACAUCGGAACGUGCCCGAGAGUGGGGGAUAACGAAGCGAAAGCUUUGCUAAUACCGCAUACGAUCUCAGGAUGAAAGCAGGGGACCGCAAGGCCUUGCGCUCACGGAGCGGCCGAUGGCAGAUUAGGUAGUUGGUGGGAUAAAAGCUUACCAAGCCGACGAUCUGUAGCUGGUCUGAGAGGACGACCAGCCACACUGGGACUGAGACACGGCCCAGACUCCUACGGGAGGCAGCAGUGGGGAAUUUUGGACAAUGGGCGCAAGCCUGAUCCAGCCAUGCCGCGUGCAGGAUGAAGGCCUUCAGGUUGUAAACUGCUUUUGUACGGAACGAAAAGACUCUGGUUAAUACCUGGGGUCCAUGACGGUACCGUAAGAAUAAGCACCGGCUAACUACGUGCCAGCAGCCGCGGUAAUACGUAGGGUGCGAGCGUUAAUCGGAAUUACUGGGCGUAAAGCGUGCGCAGGCGGUUAUGUAAGACAGAUGUGAAAUCCCCGGGCUCAACCUGGGAACUGCAUUUGUGACUGCGUAGCUAGAGUACGGCAGAGGGGGAUGGAAUUCCGCGUGUAGCAGUGAAAUGCGUAGAUAUGCGGAGGACACCGAUGGCGAAGGCAAUCCCCUGGGCCUGUACUGACGCUCAUGCACGA
rnacentral:rRNA from 1 species